GACGAACGCUGGCGGCGUGCUUAACACAUGCAAGUCGAGCGGAAAGGCCCUUUUGGGGGUACUCGAGCGGCGAACGGGUGAGUAACACGUGAGUAAUCUGCCCUUCACUUGGGGAUAACUCCGAGAAAUCGGUGCUAAUACCCGAUAUGACAUGGGCUUGCAUGGGUGUGUGUGGAAAGUUUUUUCGGUGGGGGAUGUGCUCGCGGCCUAUCAGCUUGUUGGUGGGGUAAUGGCCUACCAAGGCUUCGACGGGUAGCCGGCCUGAGAGGGUGACCGGCCACACUGGGACUGAGACACGGCCCAGACUCCUACGGGAGGCAGCAGUAGGGAAUAUUGGACAAUGGGCGGAAGCCUGAUCCAGCAACGCCGCGUGAGGGAUGACGGCCUUCGGGUUGUAAACCUCUUUCAGCACCGACGAAGUUGUGCCUUUUUGGGUGUGGUGACGGUAGGUGCAGAAGAAGGACCGGCCAACUACGUGCCAGCCGCCGCGGUAA
rnacentral:rRNA from 1 species